CAUUUCACGCGCUCGUUGAUACGACGACGACGAGAGGGAGACCCAGCACUCCAGCAGCCAGCACAGUAGCUCUCUUCCAGAUCCCGAUUGAAGCCUCGACCACCAUUCCCCGGCUCUGCCCCUCUCUCGCUCCCCACGGCGGACGGCGCGCACGCAGCCUGCUGAGAAGUGAGAUCCAUCCCGGCAAGGGCGCCGCCCAGCAUGGCUGAGACGCUGCUCCUCCCCGUGGUGCGCGGCGUGCUCGGCAAGGCCGCCGACGCGCUCGUCCAGAAGGUCACCGCCAUGUGGGGCGUCGACGACGACCGCCGCGACCUGGAGCUCAAGCUGCUGUACGUGCAGUCCCUGCUGGCCGACGCCGAGGCGAAGGCGGAGGCGGAGACCGAGGCCGGCCGCGCCGUCAAGGAGUGGAUGAGGGCGCUCAGGGCCGCCGCGUACCAGGCCGACGACGUCCUCGAUGACUUCCAGUACGAGGCGCUGCGUCGGGAGGCCCAGCGCCUUCGAUCUAGCACCAGCAAGGUACUGGAUUUCUUCCGGUCAAGGAAUCGACUUGUGUUCCGUCAUAAGGCGAGCAGGGACCUCAAGAACGUGCUGGGCAAGAUCGACAAGCUGGUGAAGGACAUGCAUAAAUUUGUCCUGCUUCAGCGCGAGCCAGAGGCGCCACAACCUCUGAAUCGGCAGACGCACUCUGCACUCGACGAGUCUGCGGAAAUCUUUGGAAGAGAUGACGACAAGGCGGUGGUGGUGAAGCUGUUACUCGACCAGCAAGAUCAGCGCAGUGUGCAGGUGUUGCCCAUCAUUGGAAUGGGAGGUUUGGGUAAGACCACACUAGCAAAGAUGGUGUACAAUGACCGCAAAGUUCAGGAGCACUUUGAGUUCAGGAUGUGGCACUGUGUGUCUGAAAACUUUGAAGCCACUGCUGUUGUGAGGUCCGUUAUCGAGUUAGCUACAAAUGGAAGAUGUGAUCUGCCAGACACCAUGGAGCUGCUUCGACAGAGACUGCAGGAAGUCAUUGGUAGAAAAAGGUUCCUACUGAUUCUUGAUGAUGUGUGGAAUGAAGACCAGCUCAAGUGGGAUGACGACCUGAAGCCACUACUAUGUUCUUCUAUUGGUGGACUGGGAAGCAUGAUAGUUGUCACGAGUCGAAGCCGAAAAGUUGCCUCUAUCAUGGGCACCCUUCCAACCCAUGAGCUUGCAUGCCUGAGUGAGGAGGAUUCAUGGGAGCUGUUCUCAAAGAAAGCAUUUUGUAAAGGAGUGGAAGAGCAAGAAGAGUUCAUAACAGUCGGCAAACUUAUUGUCAACAAGUGCAAGGGGCUACCUCUUGCUUUGAAGACAAUGGGUGGAUUGAUGAGCUCAAAAUAUCAAAUCAAGGAAUGGGAGGCCAUUGCAGAAAGCAAUAGGGGUGCCAACAUUGAAAUACUGUCCAUUCUAAAACUGAGCUACAUGCACUUGUCGUCUGAAAUGAAGCAGUGCUUUGCGUUCUGUGCGGUUUUCCCUAAGGACUACGAGAUGGAUAAGGAUAAGUUGAUCCAACUAUGGAUGGCAAACAAUUUUAUUCAAGCAGAGGGAAAUAUAGAUUUGGUGCAGAAAGGUGAAUUUGUUUUCUAUGAGUUGGUGUGGAGGUCAUUUAUUCAAGACGUGAAUGUCAAUGCAUUUGAUGGAUAUAGUGUUUCUCGAUGCAAGAAAAUUAGAUGUAAAAUGCAUGAUUUAAUGCAUGACCUAGCAAAAGAUAUCACAGAUGAGUGUGCUUUUGCAGAAGAGUUGAUUCAGCAGAAAGCCUCAGUAAAUAAUGUACGUCACAUGCAGCUGCCAUGGAAUGUAUCGGAUGAAAUCACUGGAUUAAUGAAAGCCUCGCUAUCUCUCCGAACUUUAUUAGCUCAAUACUCAAAGCCCACGGAUGUUAAGGAGUUAACACUGAAAUCAGUACGAGCAAUCCAUUGCCCAUACGCAUAUGUUAUCCACAGGCUCAUAAAUACAACACAUUUAAGAUAUCUUGAUAUUUCUGGAUCAGAAAUUGUUGGAUUGCCGAAUUCAUUUUGUAUGCUGUACAACUUGCAAUCAUUGUGGCUCAAUGAUUGUCGAAAACUAAAAUUUUUACCCGAAGGCAUGCAAACUAUGAGGCAGCUCACCCAUAUUUAUCUGUUGGGAUGCAUUAGCUUAGAGCGGAUGCCUCCAAAGCUUAGUCUACUACACAACCUCUGUACACUGACAUCAUUUAUUGUGGACACUGGAGAUGGCUUUGGUAUCGAGGAGCUCCAAGGCCUGAGACAACUUGGAAACAUGUUGGAACUGUUCAAUUUGAGGAAAGUAAAGAGUGGAUCAAAGGCCAAUCUCCAUGAGAAAAAGAAUCUAACUGCGCUGUUUUUGAAUUGGGGACGUGAAGUAGGUUACAAUCCAUUGCAUGAUGAGGUUGUAAGUAAUAAUCAGGAAGAAGUACUGGAAUCGCUUGUACCUAAUACUAAGCUCAAAACAUUGGAGCUACAUGGGUAUGGUGGCCUGGCGAUCUCACAAUGGAUGAGAGACCCCCAAAUGUUUUGUUGUCUAAGAGAACUACAGAUUUCCAACUGCCCAGGAUGCAAGGAUCUACCAUUAGUGUGGUUGUUGUCCCCUCUUGAGAAAUUGCACUUAAGCUCCAUGAACAGCCUGGCCACAUUAUGUAAGAACAUUGAUGCGGAAGCUGCAGGAUAUACAACCUCUCAGGAAAUUUUCCCCAAGUUAAAGAUGAUGCGGUUGUAUAAACUGCCGGAGUUUGAGAGAUGGGCAGAAAACAGCGCGGGAGAACCUAAUAGCUUGGUGAUGUUUCCCCAGCUAGAAAAGCUGUACAUCUCCAAUUGCAACAAAAUUGUAAAUCUUCCGGAGGCCCCAGCUCUCACUUCUGCAUCUUUUGUGGAGGAGUCUGCAGAUUGUAUUGUUCCUAUGAGCAUGGAGUGGGGAUCUUUUCCAUCUCUUAUCCACUUGAAGUUUGGGAGGCUGGUAAACGUGGUGAUGCCUGUGAAGGACCAUCAAAACCAAAGCCAAAGACCUCUACGCACCCCUAGAAGUUUGUUUGUAGAAGGUAGCAAUGGCUUCAUAUCAAUGUUCAACUCAUCCAAAUUACAACUGGGGCUUGGGGAUUGUUUGUCAUUCGUGGAACAUUUGGUAAUCUCUGAAUGCGACAAUAUUGUCCGCUGGCCAGUGGAGGAGUUCCGAUGUUUGGUUCGCCUUCAAUCUCUAUGGAUUGAUUCGUGCAGCAAACUAGAGGGGAAGGGAUCGUCCUCUGAGGAAUUCCUUCCGCUGCCCCGGUUGGAAAUAUUAGAUAUACGAUCCUGCGGUAGCUUGUUGGAGAUUCCAAAGUUGCCCGCUUUACUUGAGGAAAUGUGCAUUUACGGGUGCAAAAGUUUGGUGGCGCUGCCUUCAAACCUUGGGGAUCUGGCAAAGCUGAGGCAUCUCGGGUUGGUGACGUGCUUUGAGCUGAAAGUGCUGCCGGGUGGGAUGGACGGCCUCACUUCUCUUGAGCAAUUGGAGAUCUAUAAUUGUCCAGGGAUAAGUAAAUUCCCGCAGGGUCUCCUCCAGCGGCUCCCAGCCCUCAAAUCCCUGGAAAUAUAUUACUGCCCGGACCUGGAGAGACGUUGCAGGGAAGGUGGGGAGUACUUCGACUUGGUCUUCUCGAUUCCAGAUAAAAGGAUUCCACAACCAGAUGAACCUGCAACAAAGAAGUCUAUGAAGAGCGGGUUGCUCCCCUGGUGCGUCGGUGGCUCUUCAAGUAGCUGAGUUGCUCAGAAGCUGAGAUUUUGAGUUGAGUGUGAUGGGAAGAAGUGCCCCAAAUUACCCACUCCUUGGCUCCUCGUUGAAUUGCUGCCGACGCCUCAUACUUUUGGAUAGCAAUGUACCCUUUGUCAACACAAACUUAUAUAUGAAAGCAAAGCAAUCAUUGUCGCUUCCUUCCAGACUCUUCAGAAACUGGACCUGACUCGCUGAUUUGUAUAAAGGGAAUAUACAGAGGGUGCUGAUGAUUCGUACGCAGCCGACCGCAUAUAUCCUUCUAACAUGAUGCGCCAUUGCGCCCCCUCAUUUUGCUUCGUGAGCAUCAGUGGUUAUUAUUAGAUGUUUGGUUUUGUUUGCUGUAUUACAGUAUACUAAGCUCGUAAAUCAAGUUGCUUGCUUCUCUGUAUCCUCGUCAUUCUUCAUCCCCCUUCCCUUAUGAUGAAAAGCGCAUCAUCGUCAGCACAUUAUUCCCCUCAACACUGGCAAUCGCACAGCCUUCCAUCUUAGUUCUCAGAACCAAGAAGCGAUGCCUGCAACUGGCACUUGGGGUCGCAUUCCUCCCGGCAUUCGAGCUCCGACUGGUAGCACACCGACAUCGGCGGCUGCUGGCACACCUCCUCGGUGCAGAACACCAGGUGGAGCUUGCUCUCCUCUGCUGACGUCGAGUUGCUGCCUGCGGCCUCCAUCAGUGGCUGACGACGACCUAUCAAGAAAGAUCACAAAGAAACUUUGUCGACAUUGCCACCACGUUUGGCUUUCUUUUCCCUGUGGGGACUCGAUCGAAUUACAGUAAACACUUGCAAGAUUUCUCCAAGAGAGCCCCUUUCCCCUGCUAGCACAAGUUCACGCACAGAUGACAUGGAGGAAAGUUGUGAAGGUUUCUCCUUGCUUCAUCUUGCAUGCCGUGUCUCAGAUGUUGGGAUGGUUGAAUUACUAUUGCAGUAUGGCUCUAGUGUAAAUAUGACUGAUUCAAAGGGCCGGACACCCCUUCAUCACUGCAUUUUGAAAGGAAGACAUCAGCAUGCCAAGCUUCUCCUCUCCAGAGGGGCCGAUUCACAAGCGAUGGAUCAAGAUGGUAGAACAGCAUUACAGUAUGCAAUUGACGGUGGAACAAGCGAUGAAGAUAUUCUUAUUUUGUUAGAGGACCAUAGUAGAUAAUCUUGCAAUCACAUCUUCAGAAAAUCAAAGCCCCCCCCCCCCCCCCCCCCUUGGUGUGGUCGACUCAACUAACAUGGCUCCAGUUCCACCCGGUCCCAGCUUGCCUUGCAGAUAAUCCAAGUUUGUGGCAUGAAAGCAAUUUAUGUAUAUGUCGUUCUGGAUGGAGCUUCCUCAACAUGGCGCGCCUAUUGUUUGUUCUUCAUUUUUAUCCAUUUAUGCAAGGAUGAAUCCUCACUGUCGGGUUGGUGACGUUUGUACAAGUUUUGCACGAUGUACUGAUUUAAACCUCUAGAUUGUAAGAUACCAAAAGAAUGGGACCCAA